UAAGUAGGGCGUGAAGCGUGUGGCUCAACCAUAUACACGUGUCCUAAACUGCUAAGCUAGAAUAUAGAAGAGGUCGCUGGAAUUCCUUGUGUAGGAGUGAAAUCCGUAGAUAUAAGGAGGAACACCGAUGGCGUAGGCAGGCGACUGGUCUAUUAUUGACACUAAGGCACGAAAGCGUGGUAGCAUACAGGAUUAGAUACCCUGGUAGUCCACGCCCUAAACGAUGCGAACUG
rnacentral:rRNA from 1 species